AGGGAGGAAGCCCCGGCAAACUACGUGCCAGCAGCCGCGGUAAUACGUAGGGGGCAAGCGUUGUCCGGAAUCACUGGGCGUAAAGCGUGCGUAGGCGGUUUUUUGGGUCUGGGGUGAAAGUUCAGGGCUCAACCUUGAGAAUGCCUUGGAAACUAGAAGACUUGAGUGCUGGAGAGGCAAGGGGAAUUCCACGUGUAGCGGUGAAAUGCGUAGAGAUGUGGAGGAAUACCAGUGGCGAAGGCGCCUUGCUGGACAGUGACUGACGCUGAGGCACGAAAGCGUGGGGAGCAAACAGGAUUAGAUACCCUGGUAGUCCACGCCGUAAACGAUGAGUGCUAGGUGUUGGGGGGUCAUACUCUCAGUGCCGAAGGAAACCCAAUAAGCACUCCGCCUGGGGAGUACGGUCGCAAGACUGAAACUCAAAGGAAUUGACGGGGGCCCGCACAAGCAGUGGAGCAUGUGGUUUAAUUCGAAGCAACGCGAAGAACCUUACCAGGGCUUGACAUCCCUCUGACCGGUACAGAGAUGGACCUUCCCUUCGGGGCAGAGGAGACAGGUGGUGCAUGGUUGUCGUCAGCUCGUGUCGUGAGAUGUUGGGUUAAGUCCCGCAACGAGCGCAACCCUUGAUCUGUGUUACCAGCACGUGAUGGUGGGGACUCACAGGUGACUGCCGGCGUAAGUCGGAGGAAGGUGGGGAUGACGUCAAAUCAUCAUGCCCUUUAUGUCCUGGGCGACACACGUGCUACAAUGGGCGGUACAACGGGAAGCGAGACCGCGAGGUGGAGCGAAACCUAAAAGCCGUUCGUAGUUCGGAUUGCAGGCUGCAACCCGCCUGCAUGAAGCCGGAAUUGCUAGUAAUCGCGGAUCAGCAUGCCGCGGUGAAUCCGUUCCCGGGCCUUGUACACACCGCCC
rnacentral:rRNA from 1 species